AACGAACGCUGGCGGCGUGGAUAAGACAUGCAAGUCGGACGGGAUUUUCCGUUGUAGCAAUACGAUGGAAAGUCUAGUGGCGAACGGGUGCUUAACACGUGGGCAACCUGCCAGGAAGUGGGGGAUAGCUCGCCGAAAGGCGAAUUAAUACCGCAUGGGAUUAGAGAGGACAUCCUUUCGAAAUUAAAGUAGGGGCAAACGGACGUUUCUUGUGGGGCCCGCGGCCUAUCAGCUAGUUGGUGAGGUAACGGCUCACCAAGGCUGUGACGGGUAGCUGGUCUGAGAGGACGACCAGCCACACUGGGACUGAGACAAGGCCCAGACACCUACGGGUGGCAGCAGUCGAGAAUUUUUGACAAUGGGGGAAACCCUGAUCGAGCGACGCCGCGUGGAGGAUGAAGGUCUUCGGAUUGUAAACUCCUGUCAUUGGGGAACAAGGUGCAUACGUUAACUGCGUGUGCAUUGAUAGUACCCGAAGAGGAAGAGACGGCUAACUCUGUGCCAGCAGCCGCGGUAACAC
rnacentral:rRNA from 1 species